GAUGAAGAACGCAGCGAAAUGCGAUAAGUAAUGUGAAUUGCAGAUUUCAGUGAAUCAUCGAAUCUUUGAACGCACCUUGCGCCUUGUGGUAUUCCACAAGGCAUGCCCGUUUGAGUAUCAUUAAAUCAUCAACUCUAAAACCUUUGUGGUUUUUUUAGAGCUUGGUCUUGAGGGUUUUUUGCAGGCUUUUUUUUCGAGUCUGCUCCCUUUAAAUGCAUUAGCGAGACUUCCCUAUGCUGAACCGUCUCUUUGACGUGAUAAUUAUCUGCGUCGAAUUUUGGUUCUCGUUGGGCUUGCUUCUAAUCGUCUGUUAAAGACAAAACGGAUUUGGGUGCAUAUAUGCGCCUUUUUCCAAAACCUUUUUUGAUCUCAAAUCGGGUAGGACUACCCGCUGAACUUAAGCAUAUCAAUAAGCGGAGGA
rnacentral:misc_RNA from 1 species